rnacentral:rRNA from 1 species
UACGGAGGGUGCGAGCGUUGUCCGGAAUCAUUGGGCGUAAAGGGCGCGUAGGUGGCCCGGUCAGUUCGUGGUGAAAGCGCGGGGCUCAACCCUGCGUCGGCCAUGAAUACUGCCGCGGCUGGAGCACUGUAGAGGCAGGCGGAAUUCCGGGUGUAGCGGUGGAAUGCGUAGAGAUCCGGAAGAACACCGGUGGCGAAGGCGGUCCACUGGGCAUCAACUGACGCUGAGGCGCGAAAGCGUGGGUAGCAAACAGG